GACAGCAGCAGCCACGGUAAUACAGAGGGUGCGAGCGUUAAUCGGAUUUACUGGGCGUAAAGCGUGCGUAGGCGGCUAAUUGAGUCGGAUGUGAAAUCUCCGAGCUUAACUUGGGAAUUGCAUUCGAUACUGGUUAGCUAGAGUGUGGGAGAGGAUGGUAGAAUUCCAGGUGUAGCGGUGAAAUGCGUAGAGAUCUGGAGGAAUACCGAUGGCGAAGGCAGCCAUCUGGCCUAACACUGACGCUGAGGUACGAAAGCAUGGGGAGCAAACAGGAUUAGAUACCCCUGUAGUCCCUGUCUCUUAUAC
rnacentral:rRNA from 1 species